rnacentral:lncRNA from 1 species
AAAUAACAUGAACCCAGUUUUUUGUUCAAACUUCUAAGUUAUACCUCACUGAAAAGAGGAAAAAAAAUAUAUAUAAUGUAUGUAUUAUAUAUAUAUGAAAUCUGUAUCUAUCUCUAGAUAGAUAAUGGGGUAAUUAAAAAUUUCUCCCUACUACCCACUAACUUUCUCUUUGCCCUUCUUAGCCAUUUAGGAGGUUUCAAAUAUUUACAUCUUAACACAUUUUUCUCUUAGGAACCUGAGUCCUUUAGUUACGUUUCCUAGUGACACCUUUCAGAGGAAGGUAGACAGCAAUUACAACCUGGACAUAACUGUAAGAAACUGUCUGGCACAGGGUUGUAUAAGUUCUCAUUGAAGCUUAGUCUACGAUUUAGCACCUUCAUCUUUUCAAGUGUUAUCUGGAAGAAGUACAUGAUUAUGUUAAAUUUACAAAACUCUAAUGUAUUCUUUAAAGUUUGUAGAGAAAAGGAUGAAUUUCUUAAUUUUGAUAAAGGCAUUGUUUAAGGAGUUCCCGUUGUGGCUCAGUGGAAAGGAAUCCGACUAGGAACCAUGAGGUUGUGAGUUCAAUCCAUGUUCUCUCUCAGUGGGUUAAGGAUCCAGCAUUACCAUGAGCUGUAGUAUAGGUUGCAGACGUGGCUCGGAUCUGGCCUUGUUGUGGCUCUGGCAUAGGCUGGCAGCUGUAGCUCUGACUCAUCCUGGGAACCUCCAUAUGCCAUGAGUGCGGCCCUAAAAAGCAGUGGGGGAAAAAAGGCAUUGUUUAAAUGGUUUUAAAUUGCAUAUAACAAACACCUCAGAUCCCAGCAAAGAAUAUCGGUCUCAGUAUAGAAAAUGUUCAUUGCAAAUUCAGCAAUAUUUAUUCAGUUGGUUACAGAGCACAGUACUAGCAAGCUCAAGUUAAGGAUUUCAUUCUAUAGGGCAAUCUUAGCUACUAUAUAAAUAACUCAGGCUCAGCAAAGACAUACUGCAUUUCUAACCCCAACCAGUUAAACCUAAAAAAUGGGUAAAAUGCAUCACAGUUGUUAAAAAACUAUUCAUCAUGACACAAGUCUGACAGUAUAUCAGAGGUAUUACAAAGGAUCAAACUUCUUAUAGAGACCCUGAGUUUAGAAGGAAAAAAAGAAAAAAGAAUAAAUCAACGAAGGAGAAUUUAUCAAUGAAAUCAUCCUUCUGUUCCUGGAUAAACACCUAAUGGGACCAAAGGGAAAUUAUAAGUGAAUAAAAAAAUUACAGCAGCCACAUGCAUUCAGAGAUACUGAAGGAGUUCCCAUCGUGGUGCAGCCAAAACGAAUCCAACUAGGAACCAGGAGGUUUUGGGUUUGAUCCCUGGCCUUGCUCAGUGGGUUCAGAAUCCUGAAUUGUUGUGGCUGUGGUGUAGGCUGGCAGCUGUAGCUCUGACUCAACCUGUAGCCUUGGAACCCCCAUAUGCCGCAAGUGCAGCCCUAAAAAGCAAAAAAAAAAAAAAAAAAAAAAAAAAAAAAAAAGAAGAGGUUUAAGGCCACAUGCAUCCAAAAAGAAAUGAGGAGGUUUAAGAGCAAAGAUAUAAAGGUCCCAGGAAGUAAUUACGGACUUCUCAAUUUAGGUUCUCUAAAUGGUCACAAAGCCAACUGACCUCUGUCCUAACAGCCAAAAUUCCAAGGACAUAGGUUUGGACUCAAGCACAUUGCUAAGGUCAACCACUUGGCAAAAUAAGAGGAAAAAAGGAAGAAACAUCACUCAUGAUAUACAAAGGUUUCAUAUCUCACCAGCCUUAGACACCAAGACCCAGAGACAUAUGACACUUGAGACCCCAAUUGAUGUUUCUAGUUUUUCUAAUAAUUAAAUUUCCUUUGAUGAAGACUAAAGAUCAAACUAGUUGAUAAUGAAUUCCAAGCCAAAGCAAACCAUUUAUUCUCUUUUCAAAAUGACAUCGGAGUCCUCUUGUGGCACAGUGGGUUAAGGAUCCAAUGUUGUAUAAAUAAAUAAAUAAAUAACAUGAUACCAAUAGUCUUAGUCUCAUUAAAAUCUUCCCCAGGUUUAGGUACAUGUCCUACACAGAAAAUCCAAAUUCUCAGAUAAAUGAUACUUCAAUAAAAACACAACUGAUGGAGUUUCCGUCGUGGCUCAGUGGUGAACGAAUCCAAUAGGGACCAUGAGGUUGUGGGUUCGAUCCCUGGCCUCGCUGAGUGGGUUAAGGAUCCAGGGCUGCCGCAAGCUGUGGUGUAGGUCGGCAACCCUGGAUCCUUAACCACACCACACUUGGCUCAGAUCCCAACGUUGCGGUGGCCCUGGUGUAGGCUGGCGGCUAUGGCUCUGAUUGGACCCCUAGCCUGGGAACCUCCAUAUGCAGCGGGUGGGGUCCUUUCUAAGACAAAAAAAUAAAUAAAUAAAAACACAACUGAGCUCCAGUUAGAGGAUUCGAAUCAUCCAGGAGAAAUGUGAUUGUGACUACAGUAAAUCAGCCUCAGUGGUGAUAGAAAGGAAUGUGAAAAAUAUUUAGCAUGCAGACCAGCAUUUACUAGACAGAGGGGAGGCAGCAACAUUUCCACCAAACUAUGUAUAUCAUGUUUUUCCCAAUUAAAUCAUUUUUAAAAGCUCAGUAGGAGAGAUCAACCAUUAAUGAAAUCCCACAAUAUAUCCUUUUACUUUAAGAAACAUCUAUUUUGUAAUGCCAAUAACUUUCUCUCUUUUAUUUUUACUGUAAACUUUCAUAAUAGGUGAGUAUUUUCAAUGUGGUGACUGUCUGGAAUUUAAUCUGUCUUUGGGUAUUCACUACUUACUUGAAAAGUCUGUCACCUAGAACUAGGCUUCCUGCUGCAUCCAAGGUACCUGAAACAGCACCUGGCACCCAGGAGGUCUCCAUUUAGUUCAGUAAGUGAAUAAAGACAUUGUGAAAAUACAAAUUUGCACUUUAUGCACUUUUCACAUAUACCCCUCUUUCACUUAAUAUUUGUCUUUAUUUCUUCUUUUGGCAGCUUCUGAUCCUAGUGAAUACCCUGGAGUUAGGGUAAAAUAUUAGAAAUAUUAAAUAAAAAUAUUUUUAAAAGAAUAUUAAAAAAGAUGAAAUUUUUGUUUUAUUAUAUGAACUAGUAAAUAAGUAAAAGGCUGAGGGAAUUGGUAAUGAGAUUUGUGGCCUUUCAACUACAGGGGUAGUGUCUCAAGCCUAAAUUUGGUCAAAAAAAAAACAAAAAAAACAUUUCAUUGAUAAAACACUUAGAUGCUACAACACACAGGAUAAAAGUAAUUUAAAUACUAAUUCCAAACCUGUACUGUUUUAAAGGGGUCAAAGAAUGUUAAUUCAUUCCAUACAUUUCUGAAGAAAUACGAAACAGUACUUAAAGAGUGAAAAUUAUCAGAUAAUGCAUAAAACCACACUUGGAAAAAAUACUUCCUCUUUCAACUUUUUUUUUUUUUUUUUUUUUUUUUUGUCUUUUUGCCAUUUCUAGGGCCGUUCCCGCGGCAUAUGGAGGUUCCCAGGCUAGGGGGAUCAAACCCACAACCUCAUGGUUCCUAGUUGGAUUUGUUAACCACUGAGCCACAAUGGGAACUCCUCUUCUUUCAACAUUUAUUGGAUACCUACUGUGCACCAGGCUACAUUCCAACUACGUGUCACAAAGUAUGAACAAACUGUUAUCAAGACAGGCCUACACCUCACUGCCAUUUGAUAUGAUUAUUAUCUAUCAUAUACACUACACUAAGCACUAGAGAUACUUCUAUCAACAAGACAAAUGAUUUCUGUCCUGGAUUCUAGUGGAGGGAAAAAAAGAGAAAAACCACCAAAUAAUGAGAAAUGACAAUAAAGACAUAAAUAGAGAGCCAAGAAAUGAUAACAGGGGACCCCUCUGGAUAAUGUGGCUGGAAACUGUCUCUCUGAGGAAGUGACAUUACACUAAGGCCUCACUGAUGAAAAGGAAACAGCUCUGGUUGAGUUCCAGAUGUAUUUUGGAGAUGGGAGAAUGGACUGGAUGUGGGGAUUGAAGGGCAGGGAGGAAUCAAGGAUGGACCCUAGGUUUCUGGGUUGAGCAAUUACAUGGAUGGUGGCACCACUGACUGAAAUGGGUGCUGCAAAUUACUGAGACUUAAACUUCAUAUAUUAUGUGUUCAUUCCUGCCUAAGGGUUACCAAAGACAUUCCAAUUGCCAAAUUCAGUGACGUAUUCACUCUUUUAUCUGACACUGUUGACCAUUGCUUCUUUCUUAAAAACUUCAUUCUCUCUUGGCUUCCAGGACACCACACUCUUCUGGUUCUUUUCAAAUUCAAUGAGCCUCCUUCUCAGGUUCCGUAUACUGGAGGACUCUGUCCUUGGUCUUCUGCUUUUCCUUCAAUACACUCACUUGGUGACCUCAUCCAAGCAAUCCACUGCUUUAACUGCUAUCCACAUAAAGCCUCCCAAAUCUCUAGCUCCUACCAGAACUUUCUCCUCACCUUUAGAACCAUCCACCCAACUGUUUUCUACCCACUCCUAUGGAGAUGCCUCAGUAGUAUCUUAGCGAUAAACUCAACAUAUCCAAAAGGAACUCCAUCAUCCUCUUCUAUGAACACUCCUAUUUCCUCAUCCCAUAUUUUUCAUCGUCGAAAGGCCCCACUUUCCAAAAAUAUGCCUGGCUACCCAAGCCCCAAACUGUAGCCCCAACUCCUCUCUUUCAAGUCCACAUCAAAUUGAUUUCCAGGUCUUAUCAAAUUUACUUUCUACUGAGCUCUUGGUUAUGUCCUCUCUUCAUAUCCCACACCUUUAAUUCAGGUCUUCAUCCUCUGGAUUAUUAUAACACUCUGGUUUCUUCAGCCUUAUACCAUUCUAACCUACCCUUCACAUCUCAAUAGACAGAGAAAUCCUUCACAGGCUCCCACAGCCCUCAGGAUCAAAUCUGGCCCCAAGAAUGGCAAACAAGGAGUUCCUGUCGUAGCUCAGUGGUAAUGAACCCAAAUAGUAUCCAUGAGGAUAUGGGUUUGACCCCUGGUCUCGCUCAUCAGGUUAAGGAUCCAGCGCUGUGUGGCUGUGGUGUAGGCUGUUACAGCUUCAACUGGACCCCUAGCCUAGGAACUUCCAUAUGCCAUGGGUGCAGCCCUAAAAAGACCAAAAAAAAAAAAAAAAAAAGGCAAAAUCUUGUGAGUUAGUGCCUCUGACUGGCUUUCCUGCCUCAACCCCUACCAUCUCUCCUAUACUCUCCAACCUCCCAUCACAAUGACCUACUAACAGGUUCAUGCAUGACUCUGCAUAUCCUGUUUCCUCCCCCAAUGCCUACUUGGCUUAGG